rnacentral:lncRNA from 1 species
GCAUGUAAAAAAAUCAGCACAAAGAGUAGAUCAUAUCUACAGCUACUAGGGUUUCGAACCCUAUAUCUGAGCGUGGAUAGAUGAACACCAUAACUGAAACUCAUGAAUCAGCAUCUCUAGUGAUCGUUCGCAGCCGCACAAGGUAUCCGACCUCUAUGGAUUGUCCAUACGAAGCCCUCAAAUCAAUCAAUUGAUCAGCGUUCCACGAG